UCCCUGGUGGCCUAGCUGCUAAGGAUCCCAUGCUCUCGCCACUGUGGUCCGGGUUCGAUUCCCGGGCAGGGAA